rfam:Ixodes scapularis strain Wikel colony gcontig_1108378671340, whole genome shotgun sequence.
UGAAAGGCCCUUCUCAGGGCCCCCAUAUUUUGCAAACGGAGCCGUGU